rnacentral:rRNA from 1 species
UACGUAGGGUGCAAGCGUUAAUCGGAAUUACUGGGCGUAAAGCGUGCGCAGGCGGUUGUGUAAGACAGAUGUGAAAUCCCCGGGCUCAACCUGGGAACUGCAUUUGUGACUGCACAGCUGGAGUGCGGCAGAGGGGGAUGGAAUUCCGCGUGUAGCAGUGAAAUGCGUAGAUAUGCGGAGGAACACCGAUGGCGAAGGCAAUCCCCUGGGCCUGCACUGACGCUGAGGAGCGAAAGCCAGGGGAGCAAACGGG